GAAAUGCGAUAAGUAAUGUGAAUUGCAGAAUUCAGUGAAUCAUCGAAUCUUUGAACGCACAUUGCGCCCCCUGGUAUUCCGGGGGGCAUGCCUGUUCCAGCGUCAUUUCACCACUCAAGCCUCGCUUGGUAUUGGGCGACGCGGUCCGCCGCGCGCCUCAAAUCGACCGGCUGGGUCUUUCGUCCCCUCAGCGUUGUGGAAACUAUUCGCUAAAGGGUGCCGCGGGAGGCCACGCCGUAAAACAACCCCAUUUCUAAGGUUGACCUCGGAUCAGGUAGGGAUACCCGCUGAACUUAAGC
rnacentral:misc_RNA from 1 species